AAAGGUAUCUGCAAUAACUAUCGCCAAUCCUGCUUACGUGAACCCACAGGACCUCAGUGGAGUCAGCAACAUCCCACCAGCUGGAGGUCCUCCAGAUUACAGCAAGUCAGAAAGUCAACCUGCCUUUACUGCUUGACCAGUAUAUUUAACAGAAGACCAAAUGAUGUCAAUGUGGACAGUUUAAAAUCCUGCAGUUACUUUAACUUCUUAGAAAUUAAAUAUGUUCCUAGAACAGCACAUUAUUAGCUAUUGCUUCUGCCACUGAAAUCUGCCAAUGAUUGCACAGUUUUUCUUUUAUUAUUAUUAUCAUUAUUAUUAUUAAUCAAAUAACAAUGUUUGAUUUUCUCUGUUUUGCGCACAUGCACAGAGUGAAAAUCAAACAUUGUUAUUCAAGGCCAUGUAAACAUUUAAACGUCACCAGAAGAAUUUUAAAAUUAAUUCGGCACUGUACCGGGAGCCAAUGAAGGAAGGCCAGGACUGGAGAAAUAUGUUUUCUUUUACGCGUAGACAUUAAUAGUCGAGCGGCUGAAUUUUGGAUGUAAUGCUGCCUGAGAAACCCCAAAAUACAAAGCGUUACAGUAAUCAA